rnacentral:lncRNA from 1 species
GUUAUUUCCAAGGUCCUUAUUGGCUGACGAAUGCAGCUCAGCCUUGUUCUUUUCUAUUCUCUUAAAGUAUUCUUUGAGGAGAGUUUUCACAUGAGGAAAGUGCUUCAGAGAGGAAAAUAUGUCAGGUUCCCACGAGCAUGUCACUAACCAUUUCCUGGGCCUUAUCACCGGGAGGAAAAAAAGGAGCGCCUUUGAAAAGUGGAAACAAAACAUCAGGCCCCAUUGUUGUGUGACUUCCCCGGCCACAAUCUGGGCUCUCCAUCGCUCUACACGCGGAGACUACAAACACGCCCUAAUACAGAUACUCCAAUCGGCAAUUUGACCAGGACAUUUAUUGUUCUGUAUCUGCAAUCUCUGCUGCGUGUUUGUGGCUUUUAAAUCAUCUGUUUUUUUUUUUUUUAUUACUCUUUCCAGGCUCAGAGCAAGUCAAAAGCCUCUGAUGGCGGUCAACACCGAGAGAAGCGACUGAGUCAGUUUGCAAACUCCUGUGUGCCUUCUUGUGGGGAGUUCACAGUGGAGGAGGCAGCCUUGCUCACCUUUUUCUGUCUUUUCAACUUCACUCUGUCCUCUUGUUCCCCUUCCCCAGCUCUAGACCCUCUUUUCCUCCUCUCGUUUCACCUUCUCUCUUUCUUCAGUUCUGCCUUGGUCUGUCCCUCUUUGAUUCAUUUGUCAACUCUUGCUCCUACUUAAAGGAUUGGC